UACGUAGGGUGCGAGCGUUUAAUCGGAAUUACUGGGCGUAAAGCGCGCGUAGGCGGCUUUGUAAGUUUAGAGGUGAAAGCCCGGAGCUUUAACUCCGGAACUGCCUUUAAGACUGCAUCGCUAGAAUCGUGGAGAGGUGAGUGGAAUUUCCGAGUGUAGAGGUGAAAUUCGUAGAUAUUCGGAAGAACACCAGUGGCGAAGGCGACUCACUGGACACGUAUUUGACGCUGAGGUGCGAAAGCGUGGGGAGCAAACAGGG
rnacentral:rRNA from 1 species